UACGGGGGGGGCAAGCGUUGUUCGGAAUUACUGGGCGUAAAGGGCCAGUAGGCGGCCAACUAAGUCGGAUGUGAAAUCCCCAGGCUCAACUUGGGAACUGCAUCCGAUACUGGAUGGCUUGAAUUCGGGAGAGGGAUGCAGAAUUCCAGGUGUAGCGGUGAAAUGCGUAGAUAUCGGGAGGAACACCAGAGGCGAAGGCGGCGAUCUGGACUGAUACUGACGCUGAGGUGCGAAAGCGUGGGGAGCAAACAGG
rnacentral:rRNA from 1 species